rnacentral:tRNA from 1 species
GGGAUUGUAGCUCAGUGGUAGAGCGCUUGCCUAGAAUGUGUGAGGCACUAGGUUCAAUCCUCAGUACCA